UACGGAGGAUCCGAGCGUUAUCCGGAUUUAUUGGGUUUAAAGGGUGCGUAGGCGGCAUUUUAAGUCAGGGGUGAAAUACAGCGGCUCAACCGUUGCAGUGCCUUUGAUACUGAAGUGCUUGAAUGUGAUCGAAGGAGGCGGAACGGGACAAGUAGCGGUGAAAUGCAUAGAUAUGUCCCAGAACCCCGAUUGCGAAGGCAGCUUCCUAGAACAUAAUUGACGCUGAUGCACGAAAGCGUGGGGAUCGAACAGG
rnacentral:rRNA from 1 species